CCCGGGUCUUGUACACACCGCCCGUCACACCACGGGAGUGGGUUCACCAGAAGUAGGUAGCUUAACCUUCGGGAGGGCGCUUACCACGGUGAGAUUCAUGACUGGGGUG
rnacentral:rRNA from 1 species